CGGGGCGUAGCGCAGUCUGGUUAGCGCGCCUGCUUUGGGAGCAGGAGGUCGGGAGUUCAAAUCUCCCCGCCCCGA
rnacentral:tRNA from 1 species